UCAUUAUUCACCUUUUCUUCAUUUCCAUCUUUACCUUAAUUCUAAUUCUCCAAGUAAUUCAAGAAAUUCUUCAAAGCUUGAUCAUAAUAAUAAUCUUCCUUCAUCUAAGAAAUUGAAAAGUGGGGUUUAUGCCUAGUGGUGGUGGCUGAAAUUUUGAGGAAGAAGGAGGAGAAAUUAGGGCUUGAAUUCAUGAUUUUUGUUCUUGAAACAUUAAGGUUGAAUGCAUUACGUUGUUUUAUGGUCAUCUUGCAAUUGUGGUCGCAAACAAGGUUGUCCUGGAUGCGGAAGAAAGUAAGUAUUGUAAAGAUUGAAGUUAAAGAUGCUUAAUGGAUAUGGGUUGCUUUGGUUAAAUGCGGAUAAUGGUAUUGGUAAUAGGACCCAUAGUGACCCCUUUGAACUAUCGGCGCUUUGUACACUUGUUAUGUCUUUUUGGAGAAUUAUUAUGAUGUCUAGUGUUGGACUCGAGUUUUUGGGUAUU